CGACAAUCCACGCUAUACCUAACCCUACUUUGCUUUUACAGUUUGUAUACCGUCGUCGUCAGGUAACUUUUAAAAAUUUAGAAGUUAGCGAGAAAGCUGCAUGAGCUUACACGUCAGAUCAAGGUGCAGCUUAUAUUGGGGUGAGGAUGGGUUACAAUUAUAAAAUCAUAACUACGAAAUAACUAUAAUAAUAUAUAAUUAUAAGGAGGACUUGAAAGUAAAGAGGACUAUAAAAACAUUUUGAAUAAGGCUCUGAAACGUGCACACAUCGCCCGUCGCUCUCGUUGAAAAAUGAGAUAAGUCGUAACAUAGCAGGGGUAAUGGAAAUUGUCCCUAAGC
rnacentral:rRNA from 1 species